AUUGAACGCUGGCGGAAUGCUUUACACAUGCAAGUCGAGCGGCAGCGCGGGGGCAACCCUGGCGGCGAGCGGCGAACGGGUGAGUAACAUAUCGGAACGUACCCCGUCGUGGGGGAUAACACAGCGAAAGCUGUGCUAAUACCGCAUACGACCUGAGGGUGAAAGCGGGGGAUCGCAAGACCUCGCGCGAUGGGAGCGGCCGAUAUCGGAUUAGCUUGUUGGUGAGGUAAAGGCUCACCAAGGCGACGAUCUGUAGCUGGUCUGAGAGGACGACCAGCCACACUGGAACUGAGACACGGUCCAGACUCCUACGGGAGGCAGCAGUGGGGAAUUUUGGACAAUGGGGGCAACCCUGAUCCAGCCAUUCCGCGUGAGUGAAGAAGG
rnacentral:rRNA from 1 species